rnacentral:antisense_RNA from 1 species
AGAGGCGAUAGUCACUCUUCGAAGAGAAGAUGGCUACCAGAAGGAAGAAAAUGUACAUUUAGAAAACUCUCAAUAAUUUAUCAUUAUAUGCAACACCAAUAAAUAUCCUUGUACAUGCAUAUCCGUGCACUUGACCACAGCUGAGUUAAACAGACAUAUCUUAAAGGGUCCUCUUGUGGCCAAAUUGUCUUCCAGAAAUAUUUUACCAAUUUAUAUUCCACCUAACUCAAUGUUGGAUUAUUAUAAUUUAUGUCAAUGUAACAAAUAUAAGAUUUCUUGUUUAGGUUUGUAAUUAUUUGUCUUCUAGAAAUGUUGAACAUUGCUUUUUUAUGUUAAAUAAUCAUGUAUUUAUCUUCUCUGAGAACCACCUGUUUAUGUUUACCACCUUUGUCUAUAUUAAUUUUGUUUAUAUUGAAUUUUGUCUAAAUUGAAUUUUCGUAUUUCUGGCAGAAAUUUUUUAUUGUUAAUCCAGCCAAAUCUAUUCUUCUCUUUUGCUACCAUUGCUUCUACGCUUAGAAAGAUUUCUCCCAACUCAGGAGGAGAUAAAUAUGCACCUACAUUGUAUAGCUUUUUUGUUCAUGAUUUCAUUUUUUUCCAUUUAACACAUUUAAGGAUUGUCAUGAUGUUUUAAUGAAUGAAAGUGUUUCUUGAGAUUUGUACAGAAAAGCAUUAUAUAGUAUUAUGUGGUUCUUAAGGUUUAAAUAAGUACAUCAGGAUAAAUUUUUUAAACAUGUAAUAAAUAAACUAAUUUAAGGGG